UGAAACUAUUUUAGAACAUAUCUAUUUAUUUGAAAAAAUAAACAAACUUGUGUUUUAGAAAUGAUGUACCAUUAAUUAUACCAGAAGUCAUAUACUCAUGUAUUUAUCAAUGUGAAAGUAGGUCAUGAUGACCUGAUUUUGUAUUUAGCAUGUUGUUAAUCCUAUGUGUUUGUUAAUGGUGUUUAAGCACAUUUCUCACACUUUGUAUCUCUGUUGACCAGAUAGAUAGGACAACUCAUGUUAAUGUCAUUUAUUUGGAGAAAUAUUGUACGUAAGUUUAAGCGUUAUUAUGGGUUUUUUUUGUUUACGGACACAAUGAAGUAACUUAUAUACAUUGUUUUUGUUGUUUAUUUUUAUUGUGUUUACACUUACCAUGAAACACAUAAUUCUUGUAUACAAAUGAUGUUUGGGGAAAUGUAGCGAGCUGUAGAUAAAAGUCAAUAAACUUAAAGUAACAUG
rnacentral:misc_RNA from 1 species